rnacentral:rRNA from 1 species
CAGUAGCCGCGGGAAUACAGAGGGUGCGAGCGUUAAUCGGAUUUACUGGGCGUAAAGCGUGCGUAGGCGGCUUCUUAAGUCGGAUGUGAAAUCCCUGAGCUUAACUUAGGAAUUGCAUUCGAUACUGGGAAGCUAGAGUAUGGGAGAGGAUGGUAGAAUUCCAGGUGUAGCGGUGAAAUGCGUAGAGAUCUGGAGGAAUACCGAUGGCGAAGGCAGCCAUCUGGCCUAAUACUGACGCUGAGGUACGAAAGCAUGGGGAGCAAACAGGAUUAGAUACCCCUUUAGUCCCUGUCUCUUAUAC